UACGUAGGGGGCGAGCGUUAUCCGGAAUUACUGGGCGUAAAGCGUGCGCAGGCGGUGCUGUAAGACCGAUGUGAAAUCCCCGGGCUUAACCUGGGAACUGCAUUGGUGACUGCAGCGCUGGAGUAUGGCAGAGGGGGGUGGAAUUCCACGUGUAGCAGUGAAAUGCGUAGAGAUGUGGAGGAACACCGAUGGCGAAGGCAGCCCCCUGGGCCAAUACUGACGCUCAUGCACGAAAGCGUGGGGAGCAAACAGG
rnacentral:rRNA from 1 species